rnacentral:rRNA from 1 species
AAUGAACGUUGGCGGCGUGGAUUAGGCAUGCAAGUCGAGCGAGAACCCCGCAAGGGGGGACAGCGGCGAAAGGGACAGUAAGGUGUAGAUUAUCUGCCCUCAGGUCCGGGAUAGCUGCGGGAAACUGCAGGUAAUACCGGAUAACAUCUCCGGAUCAAAGGUGUGAUUCCGCCUGAGGAUGAGUCUGCAUCCUAUUAGCUAGUUGGUGGGGUAAUGGCCUACCAAGGCAUUGAUGGGUAGCAGGUGUGAGAGCACGACCUGCGUCAUUGGGACUGAGACACUGCCCCGACACCUACGGGUGGCUGCAGUCGAGAAUCUUCGGCAAUGGGCGCAAGCCUGACCGAGCGACGCCGCGUGUGGGAUGACGGCCUUCGGGUUGUAAACCACUGUCAGAGGGGAUGAAAUGCAGGUGGGUUCUCCCAUCUGUUUGACAUAGCCUCAGAGGAAGGACGGGCUAAGUUCGUG